GCUAAGCCUAGCUCGACGGAGCGAAAGUCGGAUACCCAAUCUGAUUGGCUUAGCUCCUAUUUGGG
rnacentral:ncRNA from 2 species